rnacentral:rRNA from 1 species
GACGAACGCUGGCGGCGUGCUUAACACAUGCAAGUCGAACGAGCGUAGCAAUACGCGAGUGGCGGACGGGUGAGUAACGCGUGAGGAACCUGGCUCUAACAGGGGGAUAACAACGGGAAACUGUUGCUAAUACCGCAUAAGACCACAGAGCGGCAUCGCUCAGGGGUCAAAGCUCCGGCGGUUAGAGAUGGCCUCGCGUACUAUUAGCUUGUUGGUGAGGUAACGGCUCACCAAGGCGACGAUAGUUAGCCGACCUGAGAGGGUGAUCGGCCACAUUGGAACUGAGACACGGUCCAA